rnacentral:snRNA from 1 species
AGAGAAGAUUGGCAUAGCCCCUGUGCAAGGAUGACACAUACAUUUGUGAAGUGUUCCAUAUUU